CAAUAGUGUAUAUUAAAGUUGUUGCAGUUAAAAAGCUCGUAGUUGGAUUUCGGGACGGGCCAGUUGGUCCGCCGCAAGGUGUGUUACUGACUGGUCUGUUCUUCUUCGCAAAGACUGCGUGUGCUCUUCGUUGAGUGUGCGUAGGAUUUACGACGUUUACUUUGAAAAAAUUAGAGUGUUCAAAGCAGGCUAUCGCUUGAAUACAUGAGCAUGGAAUAAUGGAAUAGGACUUUGGUCCUAUUUUGUUGGUUUCUAGGACCGAAGUAAUGAUUAAGAGGGACAAUUGGGGGCAUCCGUAUUUCGUUGUCAGAGGUGAAAUUCUUGGAUUUACGAAAGACGAACAACUGCGAAAGCACUUGCCAAGAGUGUUUUCAUUAA
rnacentral:rRNA from 1 species